GUGGGGAAUAUUGGACAAUGGGCGCAAGCCUGAUCCAGCCAUGCCGCGUGAGUGAUGAAGGCCCUAGGGUUGUAAAGCUCUUUCACCGGAGAAGAUAAUGACGGUAUCCGGAGAAGAAGCCCCGGCUAACUUCGUGCCAGCAGCCGCGGUAAUACGAAGGGGGCUAGCGUUGUUCGGAUUUACUGGGCGUAAAGCGCACGUAGGCGGAUCGUUAAGUCGGGGGUGAAAUCCUGGAGCUCAACUCCAGAACUGCCUUCGAUACUGGCGAUCUUGAGUCCGGAAGAGGUGAGUGGAACUCCUAGUGUAGAGGUGGAAUUCGUAGAUAUUAGGAAGAACACCAGUGGCGAAGGCGGCUCACUGGUCCGGUACUGACGCUGAGGUGCGAAAGCGUGGGGAGCAAACAGGAUUAGAUACCCCGGUAGUCC
rnacentral:rRNA from 1 species